GAAGGUGGCAGAGCCCCCCCCGAGUGACUCCGACCCCCCCGGGGACCUCGUGGACGUCGAAGGAUUUGGGGACCCCCCCCCCAAGAAGCUGAACUUCGACCAGGCCUGAAAUUGGAGCCCUCUCUUGGAACCCCCAAAACUUCUCGGGGGGGGUCCCCAAAACCCCCUGGACCCCCCCAAAUUCCUCCCUGAACCCCCAAACUUGGGAGGUCCCCAAAUCUCCCUCAAUUUUGGGGUCCCCCCUCCCAAUCUUUGGGGUCUUCUCUCAAGAGACUCCUCCCAGUUUUGGGGGGCCCCCCCCUUUGUCGCCCCCAAUAAAAUUUUGGGGUGUCCCCCC